rnacentral:rRNA from 1 species
UACGUAGGGUGCGAGCGUUAAUCGGAAUUACUGGGCGUAAAGUGUGCGCAGGUGGCCGCGCAAGUCGAGUGUGAAAUCCCCCGGGCUUAACUUGGGAAUUGCGCUCGAAACUACGUGGCUCGAGUGUGGCAGAGGGGGGUGGAAUUCCACGUGUAGCGGUGAAAUGCGUAGAGAUGUGGAGGAACACCAAUGGCGAAGGCAGCCCCCCUGGGCCAACACUGACGCUCAUGCACGAAAGCGUGGGGGAGAAACAGG